GGCCCUAUAGCUCAGUGGUUAGAGCACUGGUCUUAGUAAACCAAGGGCUGUGAGUUCAAUUCUCGCUGGGGCCU
rnacentral:tRNA from 1 species